rnacentral:rRNA from 1 species
GACGAACGCUGGCGGCGUGCCUAACACAUGCAAGUCGAACGGAGAUACGCGCUGAAUGACGAAGCUUGCUUUUGAAUUCUUGUGUAUCUUAGUGGCGGACGGGUGAGUAACGCGUGAGCAACCUGCCUUUCAGAGGGGGAUAACGUUUGGAAACGAACGCUAAUACCGCAUGAGACUACAGUACUACAUGGUACAGUGGCCAAAGGAGCAAUCCGCUGAAAGAUGGGCUCGCGUCCGAUUAGAUAGUUGGCGGGGUAACGGCCCACCAAGUCGACGAUCGGUAGCCGGACUGAGAGGUUGAACGGCCACAUUGGGACUGAGACACGGCCCAG